UACGGAGGGUGCAAGCGUUGUCCGGAAUCAUUGGGCGUAAAGGGCGCGUAGGCGGCUCAUCAAGUCUGUGGUGAAAGUCCGGGGCUCAACCUCGGAUCGGCCGUGGCGACUCGUGGGCUGGAGCGCUGUAGAGGCGGGUGGAAUUCCGGGUGUAGCGGUGGAAUGCGUAGAGAUCCGGAAGAACACCAGUGGCGAAGGCGGCCCGCUGGGCAGUGGCUGACGCUGAGGCGCGACAGCGUGGGGAGCAAACAGG
rnacentral:rRNA from 1 species